UUUACUCAACCAUGUAUCAAGGUUUUACAGGUUGAUUUUUAUAGUUCAACGAAUGGAAGCCCAUGGCUGCCUUAAAGGCAGGAAAACCAAGUUAAAACACCAAAACCAUAUGGUAUGCUAUAAGAAAUGGGCGAUCAUUCAAAAUUAUUGCUCACAUGUCAUAUGUUCAUGUGAUUUUCAGGUAGCCUAUUUAUGUGACAUGUGGAACCUCCAAUGUUAAAACAAAAAUUUCACAUUUAAUAGCACAUGUAACAGCGUUUUAUAAAUUCACAUAUUGAGAUUUGUACAUUAGUGAUAUCAGCAUGUGUGAUUUUCAUACAUGUAUGAAAUACAUUCAUACAUGUGAAAACAUUAAUUUCACAUGCAUUUCUUGUAAGCAUGAAAGUAUGACAUUCAUUAAUAACAAUGUUUUCCAAUUUGGAAAACAACACUUAAUUUUGUGAUAAAAAAAAAAUUGAAUUCCCCAUAGAGGGAUAAAUAAAGUACUUCUUCUGAAAUUGGUUUCAACCAUAUUGACCAGCCCUUAGACUUUUGGGCGCUGGUGCUAAAACAUGAAUAUACACUAGAAUGUCCUACAAGCAGUUAUUUAGAAGAUGAACCUCAUUGUGUUCACCUUGUCUUAUUUCUUUUCCUCUGCACUGCUUCUUCAGUCCUCAGUGAGGUCAUAAUAGAAAUUCAUGCUGCUUGCAGAGCCAAGAAGGGGAAAAGGGGGAGGGUGGGGGUGCUAAUCAUUUAGCCCCCUGCCCCCCACCUCCCGCUCCCCUUUCACUCCAUACCAAAUGGUAAGUCCUCAGAGCCAGCGCUGAAAACAGGAAAUCUCCACAGUUCUCACCCCCGCAGGGGGAGUAAAUGAAUUAGCAUGACUGACAAAAGACGCAAGAUCACCUUGAGCUAUGCAUUCAAUUAACAUGACAACGACACAGUGGCCCUUUGAGUCUGAAACAAGCACCUUUUUUAUGAAGACUAGGAGCUGCAAGGAACACAUGUCAACAAGCUGAAAGAGGACAAAGAGUUUAAGUGAUCACAGAAACGUAUAGGGGAGAGAGCCCCCCCCCCCACACACACACCCCUUUCCCCUUAAAACCAUCAUAAGCAUUUUCAACAUUAAGGUGAAAUGUGCACGAAACAAAUAGCCUACUGUUAGGGGGCAAACAAGACAACUACAAAAUACAACCGUCGGUUCUUAAAUAAAUGCUCAAAAGUUUUAAACACUUAAUUAAGGGAGCUGCCUUUUAUAUUAAAGUGUGUGUGACUCAGAGUUUUAAGGUAUUUACGCUGUUGUAAGGGAUGCCAUGUCUUGGUGAAAAGCAUGAAAUCUCCAGCUCCAAGCAAGACAAUGGAUCUGAUACAACUCUGUGAACUUUUUACUUUAACUGCAACAAGAAAAAGUCCAGAGAAAAAGCUCCAUCUAUUGUGUAAGAUCAACUCAGCGCACGAAGAAAACACGGGGACUUCUCUUUUUCAAGUUUCACAGAAUGUGAAGGAAGAAGCUCGCAGUAUGAAAGAGACUUACCGUCACAUCUCAGAUUUGGAAACAAGAAAAGCAUCCAGAGCAAACUCUUCAGGGAGGUCAUAGCGUCAGUUUUCACUCCCAAAAGUGUGCGGGAAAAUAAGACGGAAGAUAGUUUCAUCCAGUUUUAGUAGCUGAGCUUCUUCUUCUGGAUCUUCUCUUCUUUUUUGAUUUCCAAGUCAGCAGCCAGGCCCGGAGAGAGAGCGCACUUUCCAGGUCGCUGAAGAGUCAGACAUGAAGGUGCGGGACAGAUGCGGGUUCGGAGAGGAAAACAAACCCGCGUUCAUCCCGUGUACAGUCCGGCAGAGACGUUGGGAGCCGCGCGGCUUCUUCAGAGCUGUAUUGAUCCCAAAGUGGCUUCUGUCCUCGCGCUGGAAAAAAAAAAAGAACUAGCUUGGAAAACUGAAGCGGACGCACGCGCGUACUUACACGCACACACAGAAGUGCGGUAACGUUUUUGUAGAGGGCCCCAUCUAGAGACGGAACGAAGGUAGCUGAACAGCCAGCCUACUACAAAACUUGAAUGUUUUAUUUGUUGUUGCCUAAAUGGCGUACAUUUAGUCGGUUGUAAACCUAUUUAGUCUAAAGAAAUCCUAUUAGCAGUUUUGUUCCUGUAUUUGUAUUUGAUUUUACAUCUGACUUUAGGCCAAUCAGGGUUCUGAUAUCCUCCAAUCAGACUUGAAACUCACAGAGCAGAAAUGUUGUUCUGUGUCUGCCAUCAGGUCAAACAUCUCAGUUGGCACAUAAGACACAUGGGCCUAUGGUUAUAGAGGUUGAGUGACUUAAUCUAAAGGCAUCUCAAAUGUAAUAUACAUGGUGUAAAUGGCAUCAGAUGCCUUUAAAUCUUACUGUUCAAGUUCCUGUUCAAGAUAUAUUUAUAUUACAUUUGACAUUUGAUAUAUUAGUUUGUGCCUUUUGUGGAAAUUAGUUCCCUAAUCUCUAAAUUUACUAAAUUAACUCUUGACCAUUUCAGAAUCAGAAAUACUUCACUGAUCCCCGAAGGGAAACUCUUUGGAUUUCUUCCUCUCAUAAAACAAAUCCACACACUCACUUUCUGGAAGUUCUGUAUUUACGAAAAACUCAGUCAUCUCUGCAGCUGUAUACUCUCAAAGUUAAAGAUUACAAAAUUAAGUUGAUGACUUAGUCAUGCUGAAGGACUGUACUUUACUUGAGUAUUUCUAUUUUUUGUUACUUACACUGAAAGGGGCAUUUCUGCUGCAUAAUGAAGACUUUUACUUUUGAUACGUAAGAACAUCUUGUUGAUAAUAUGCCCGUACUUUUACUUAAAGCAGAACUCUACAGAUUUUACACGUUAAGAUCAGUUUACUGGUAAUGAUGAACAGUUGUAUAAUGUCUUCUGUGGCUCUGGAGGAGCUUCAUCUGAGAAAAGCCUGUGUUACAAACUCGAGGUGUGAGGUUUAAAAGACUUAUGCUGUGUCCCAAAUCCAUACAUACAUCAUCAUAGUAUACUGUUUUAGCAGUUGGUAUACCAAAAAUCAACACAGGCUACUUAACCAUUUUAUACUAACAGGAAAUGUUAGUUGGAUGUCAAUCAAACUGCAAUUAUGGAACGUCACAUCCAAUUACAUUUCACAAAUAGACAUCAAAAUAUUAUAUCUAGAAUGCAAUACUCACUUCUAUGUUUUCCUAGAUCUUUCCAGAGCUGUUUAAUCACUGUGAAACAAUUUACAGAAUUUGUUUUGGAAAUAAACAAACAAUAAAACCAGUGUAUUUAUUUUCCAGCUGUGAGCAGGUCUUCCAUUUCCUUUUUGCAUUGUGGGAGAAUAGUGUGCAUCAACAAAACUCACUCAAAAAUAUUUAGUAUGCAUACUUUCUGGUUUUCCAGUGUAAACACACUACAUCCUCAAAACCUGCUUAGAAUUAGUGAUAAUUUGGGACACAGCAAUUUACAAGACAAGGAAGGGCCAAUGAAAAUAUGCUUUAUAUAGCAUUAUGGGAGACGUAGGAUCCAGUGUUUUUGGACCAAUACUAGAAGUUAAAAGUCAGGAUGUUGCAACCUCUGCUGCAUCAAGUUUGAUCUGUUUUGUUUUUCCCCCCGUCUCUUGUUAGUCCCCCAACUUUAUGGAAGUGGAAUACUAAAUUACUGGAGUAACCCUUUAAUUAGCGCGUUGUCCUUGCAGAUAUGUGUAGUUCAUAUUGAAUGGAGCACUGUAGACACUUUGUAUUAUAUUGCUGUAAUCAGCAUUAAAGCAGAAACCUGUGGGGACCUUAGCAGCACAUUUUGUAAUUUGCUACUUGAGUGUAAAAAGACACUGGUCUGCAAAUAGGAAACCCAGAAUAUUUCUGCUUAUAUAUUUGUAUCUGUUUGAACUCAGGUCACUACCCAGGUCACGUUGUGGGAAAAAAAAUAAAAAUCCUGUUGGGUUUUUGGUUGGUGGUCUUGUCAAAAUAUGAAAUGGUUUUAGAGCUAAAAACUUCAAAUCGUCUUAACCUAAAACAAAUACAUGAUCAAUCCACACACAAAAAAAAACAACACUCACUUUAACUACUCAAGUUAAAUCAGAUUUAUUUAGAUAUUUACAUUUCAUGAAAGUAAAGUGGUCAGAAAUGCAAUGACCUCUAACAAAAGAGCAGUAACAUCGACUGAAAAACAAAGAACAAAAAAUCCAGGUGUAAAACUCAGUGUCUGUGGUAAAAUUACCAGUGGCAUAUAAACUCACAACCAUUGUGUACAGUUCAUGUGCUAGUACUCUGCAGACAUACUAAAUAAAACAAUGAGCACAAUGUAUCCUCUUUGGUCAGUACAUGAAAAG